rnacentral:rRNA from 1 species
UACGGAGGGUGCAAACGUUGCUCGGAAUCAUUGGGCGUAAAGCGCACGUAGGCGGCCUAGUAAGUCGGGUGUGAAAGCCCUGGGCUCAACCCAGGAAGUGCACUCGAAACGGCCAGGCUUGAAUAUGGAAGAGGGUCGCGGAAUUCCCGGUGUAGAGGUGAAAUUCGUAGAUAUCGGGAGGAACACCAGUGGCGAAGGCGGCGACCUGGGCCAAUAUUGACGCUGAGGUGCGAAAGCGUGGGGAGCAAACAGG